rnacentral:rRNA from 1 species
UACGUAGGCAGCGAGCGUUGUUCGGAGUUACUGGGCGUAAAGGGUGUGUAGGCGGUUGUUUAAGUUUGGUGUGAAAUCUCCCGGCUCAACUGGGAGGGUGCGCCGAAUACUGAAUGACUUGGAGUGCGGGAGAGGAAAGUGGGAAUUCCUGGGUGUAGCGGUGAAAUGCGUAGAUAUCAGGAGGAACACCGGUGGUGUAGACGGCUUUCUGGACCGUAACUGACGCUGAGACACGAAAGCGUGGGGGAGCGAACAGG